AAGAUAAUAUGUGCGAAGUCAUCAUUAUCCAAAUCGUUAAGUAGUCAGUACUACACUUGUUUGUUUUACCUAUUGCCAAAUCCUGCAAAAACAACAGCUUGAAAUUCAAUCGGAAUAGACUGUAAUUGAAUAUUCCCCCGAUUUCGUCCACCAGAAAUAGGUCCAAGGAUUGAAGGGCUACUGGCUAAAGGAAGUGCAGCAUGCUCAUACAACGACAUUGUGAGAUGUUGUUCUUCAAGGCGUUGGAUGCUUUUACAAAAGGUUUUUACCUAAAAGGAUGCUUUGAAGCCAAAAUCUUUUAUAACCUGAUAGAAGACGAAUUAUUGGGUUUUUUUGCAGUACGCCAAUAUUUGAUGAAGAUGGAAAACCUUACUUUCCUAGAUCCCUACUAACGAGCCAAAAGUUUACACGUUACACAUCACUAUCUGAAAUAAAAAUGUGCUGAAUUUAUAUUUGUGUUUAGAAAAAUGUAUUCAUGAAAUAUGAACUAUUGAUGAUUUUUUUUUAAAAUGAUUUACCAACUCAAAAUGUGGAGCUGCUUGAAAACUAAUUAUUGCUUUGCACUUGUAAUUUUGUUUAAUGUGCAAUAUUAAAAAAGAUGUUUUAAUAAUCAACGAUUUAUAAAUCGGUACGUUUUCGCGAUCCUGGUUUAUAAUCAAUCCGAUAGUAAAAAAUAUCAAUCAAGCGCUCAGAAAAUGAUCCUCUGUACACCAAUUAAGGAACAAAUAUUUGAAGCCGGUUAGUAAACUAUUAUUUUGAGGAAUCAGAAGAUUAGAGAUACAGUACAUUGUGUAUUGUUUUCAUUAGUUUUUUAAGUUUAAAAACCAUUGGACUACUGCAAUCGUAACAAGUUGAACUAAAAGUUUUGGAUUAGAUUACCCAUAGCUCUCAUCUCGGUGAUUAAUGUAUUGUUGUUAACUACCGAGUAAAGAAGGAAGAAAAACCAGAACAUUGAAAGAUUUUAUAACAAAUAAAUAGUAAUGGGAUACCUCCGGUAAAGCUCAAUAAUAAGUUGAUGUGUAUGCGGCAUUACUGUAACACUGCACCACUCUUAACUUCAUCGAAUUUUUUUUGAUAUAAGAA